rnacentral:lncRNA from 12 species
CUACCUGUGUACCUGUCACCCUUGUCUUUACAUAGCCUCAAGCGAAGAAGAAUCCUUGCAACCUUCUCACCUGCAGGGCUGUUGGCAGUUGGAAGAUUCCAGAUUUCUCUGAGUCUCUCCCCUUCCCCAUUCCUCCAUGCAUCUGGUUGGCACAGGUAGGUAACUUGACUGGCUCUCUGUUGCCAUGGUAACAACCAUGUCCAUGCAAAUAGCAACAACUCUGUUUUCCCAGAUAUGCUCUGAAGGAGGACAAGGACACAGGGGGGAUUCUCCAGCCUCUCCUUAGGAAAGAGUGAAAAAGAAAGUCCUUCUAAGCAGAGGCUUUUAAGAUUGCUAAAACUGCAAAGAUAAGAAGUAUAAGACCUUUCCUGGCAUGGUAAAGAGGAUUCUUGGAGGAGGAAGACAUUACACCUGGUUGACUUGGAGAUCCUCCAGGGAUGGCAUCUGUUACCACUGUCUCUCUUGAAAUACAGACCCACGGUUGUUGAUCUGCAAAUGUUGAUGAAAACCCAAACUGUAUUUGUCUCUGUUGUCUCAUGGCUUUGCCACCAUAUGCUAAAUCAAAUUACACUUCACAGUUGGCAGCUGAAAGAAAUGAAGAAAUAGUCAAUGCAAAGAUAUCUUCCUUGGCAUCACUGGGGAUGUAAAAUAUUAAAUCUACCUAUCUAUUUCUUUUUAUUAGUCUGUUAUCAUUGUUAACAUGGAAAGUGGCUCUUUAAAAUGAGCGCUGGAGGGAAUACAAGCUCGUGCAGCUACUGUGGAAAACAAUUUGGAAGUUCCUCAAAAAAUUAAAAAUAGAACUACCGUAUGAUCCAGUAAUUCCACUACUGGGUAUUUACCCCAAGUAAUUGAAAACACUAGUUCAAAAAGAUAUGUGCACCCCUAUGUUUAUUGCAGCAUUAUUUAUAAUAGUCAAGUUAUGAGAGCAAUCUAAGUAUCCAUCCAUAGAUGAAUGGGUAAAGAAGAUGUGCUACACAAACAUACACAAACAUACGAUAUUACUCAGCCUAAAAAAAAAAAAAAAACUUACCAUUUGUAACAUGCAUGGAUGGAUCUAGAGGGUAUAACGUUAAGUGCAAUGAGUCAGAAAAAGACAAUCAUACGAUUUCAUUCAUAUGUGGAAUUUAAGAAACAAAACAAAUGAAAAAAAAAAAGAGACAAACCAAAGAACAGACCCUUAAAUAUAGAGAACAAACUGAUGGUUCCAGAGAGAAGGUGAGUGGGGGGAUGGGUGAAACAAGUGAAGGGAAUGAUUAAGAGCACACUUGUAAUGAAUUGUUGAAUCAUUAUAUUGUACAUUUGAAACUAAUCUAACACUGUAUGUUAACUAUACUUGAAUUAAAAAAAAAAAAAAAAAAAAAAAAAACGAACGCCAGAGGCUCCUCCUGCUGAGCACACACAUCAGUCACUAAAACGUAGAUUUGUCAUCAUAAGUGUUUAAAGCAUGAAAAGCAAGAGUGUCCUUGAGUCAAGGACACUGAAGAAGGGAUAGCAAGGAAUAAGUAGGAAGAAGAGAGGUAAAACACAGAUGAAGGUAUCAUGUGUCCUUAUGCAUGAGAGUGGGCAUGUGGGAAAAUAACUAGG